rnacentral:lncRNA from 1 species
AAACAAGCAGGCUGCCUGCCGGAUUCAUUGUCAUUGCUCCUGUUGUAUGUGUGAAUGGAAGCGCUAAGGAAUGCCUUGUCCAGGUGAGCUUACCUACCCUGCACCUCCUUCACACCAUCAGGGAUCCAGACUGUUCAGGACUGCACUGGACAUACUUCAUAUCAAUAUAAAGCAGGUACCUUCAAUUAGAAUUCUUCAGAAGUAUGAAAUAAU